rnacentral:rRNA from 2 species
UGCAGAAUCCCGUGAACCAUCGAGUUUUUGAACGCAAGUUGCGCCCGAAACCAUUAGGUCGAGGGCACGCCUGCCUGGGCGUCUCAC